CCUAGUAAAGGCCUUGAGCUCAGACCGGCUGCGCGCUGGGAGGAGGGUGGACGGAAGGAAGCUGCUUUAGUGACUAGGCCUACUUGGUACCAAGCUCUCGGCUGGGAAGGACCUUGAAGACCCUGCGGUUCAACUUCCAAUUUGCAGAUGUGGAAACUGAAGCCCAGAGAGGGUAUGCAACUUGUCCAAGGUUACUCAGCCGUUUAGUGGCCUGGUUGGGACUGGACUCAAGCGCUCCUGACUGCGCUUGGCCUUACAGGCAACUCCUCCAACGAGGUGAAUGCUAAUACAGUCCCUUUAGACCUGUCUAUAGUUUAAGGCCUGUGCUGUUAAAAGGUCUAGCUCAUGUAGGGUGGGCAUUUGGAUUCCUCUUAGACCCCCACCCGCAACUAUCAGGUGUUUGGAGUAAAUGUUUCAUCCUGCGAAGGUGCCCCUUUUAUAAAGGCACAACUGUAAACUGGAAAGAAUGUGUGUACAGGCUUAAAGGACUGUGAUUCUUAGCCCUUUUUAGUUAUAAGCCCUGAAAGAAAGUAAUGAAAGCCUUUCUUUAGCAAAAUACACAUAAAGAAAAUGUGUGUACAAUUUCUUGAUUUCUCCUAACAUUGGUACGUGGGCUCCAGGUGAAGAAUUUCCUGAUUUAUUACAUUUUCCACCGUACUGACCUAGGGCUAAUUGGGGUAGCUAACUUAUAGAGCUCUUUACGAAAUAGCUUGAGCUUCUGGAAUAAUUGCCCUGCUUUAGGCAUACUGGGAAAACCUAACAGCAACUCAGUCCUCCGCUGAGAAAUUCCAACCAAGAAUUAGGAAAGGUUGACCAGCUACCUUUAAGCCUCAAAAAAGGAAGAAGAGGUCUUUUCCUGCCAGAAAUAGCUGCAGUUCUGAAGCUGGAAGUGUGGGGACACCAUUCCUUACCCAUUCUGUGACUAUGUUGAUUUCCUGUGGCUUAGCAGUCCUCCUAACCUUAGCCUUUUGCUUCAUCUACGAGCUGAGAAAGAAUUGCCCUCUGUGUGUAACUUUAUAAGGAAUCAAUGAAAGUUAAAUGAGAUGACAUCCAUGAAAAUCUUUGAAUUGUCUUUAUGAGAAUUAUCCAUAACACGGAUGAUCCACAGUUCUGUCUCACUCCAGGCCAACUUUCUCCUGUCUUAUCAGUUUGCUGAGCCACCUCCUGCUCGACAUCCAUCCUGAUACUACCAGAGGGCAAAUGGAUUUUUAAAGUAGCUGGAAUAAAAUGCUGGGAAGAUAAAUGUUUUGCAGCGAAGUUCCAAUCAUAAAUAUAAGAUCCUUACCACGAUCCAACUGAAAUAUUGUUUUAGUUGAGCUAAGGUUAUUGAUGGUGCUGCCUAGUCCUUAGCACUGGAUACCAUCCUGCCUUCAGCAGAUGCUACUGAGGCACUAUAAUGUGAGUGUUUAGCACUCAGACUCCAGAAACUGACUACCUGAUUUCAUUUCCCAGCUCUCCCACCUCUUACCUUGUGUAAUUUAUGUUGCUUAUAUGGAAAAUGGGGCUAAUAAUUAUACCUGCCUCAUAGGGCUUUUGGGUGAUUUUAGUGAGUUGAUAAACGUUAAGUGCUAGGAACACUGCCUGGCAUACUGUAUAUGUUGCGUAUAUAUUGGCUGUUAUCCAUUUAGCAUGUAUUUUGUACUAAGCAAGUUGUUCUUGGUCCUUGGCCUAUUUAGGGAAGAAAGCCUUUAAUCAGUUAAUCUCACAAACAGAUGUAAAGAUGUAAAGUUGACAGAUGGGAAAGAAUGGCCCAGCCACGGGGCUCAGGGAAAGCUUACCUGAGAAAGGGAAGAGAGUUACUCAGCUGGAGAAAGGAAGAACAGCAUAUGCAAAGGCUUAGUGAUGAGAGAGGGAGCUUGGGGAUUAUAAGGAACUGCAAGAAAGCCAGUACCCCCAAAACACAGAACAAGGGAUUGAGAAACAGCUAGAGUGUUGAAUAAGGGAAAACCCUUGCAUGCCAUGCAAAUGCUUUUGUCUAUAUCCUAAGACCAAAGAGCAGAUAUUCAGAAGUUUUAAAAAGGCUGGUUGUAACAUGGAGAUUACACAGGAAAGAAUGAAGAGUCAAUGCGAAGAGACCAGUUUGGAGGCCAUUGCAGUAAUCCAGACAUAAGAUGAUACUUGUAGGAAGAAGGAUAGGAGUAAUAGUGGAAAUAGAAACAAGUGUAAAAGUUAAAGAACUUGGUAAUUGAUUGGAAGAAGAGGGAGGUGUCGCCAGUGUCUAGAUCUCUUGGCUUCACUAUGUUGGUGGUGCCAUUUGCCAUGUUUCCCAAGUAGGAGGAAUUGGAGACCACGUGGUUUGGUAGAAUGUGGAGAGGUACAGAGGGGGUUCAGGUUUUAUAUUUUGAGCUGUGUAUGGAGUACAUGGGUUUUAACAUGCUAUUCUCUGUAACUUUUCAUAUGUCAUGAGUAUUCAUGUCCAGUGAGCAAAUUCUGAAAUUAAAGAGAGAAACUGGGUUUCAGUCUUAAGCUGUGACUUCCUGCUGUAUGAUCCUGAACAAGUUAUAUUUAACCUUUUGCAUCUGUGCCACAUCAUUGGUUGGUCUGAGCACACACAGGAGGGAGCCUUUCUCCUGUGAAGUGCCAAUACAAGUGUCUUGUGCCAGGAGAUGCUCACCAAUGUCUGUUAAACAAGUGAAUUCGUGAAUGGAUGAGAUCAGCUAGCAUUGCCCACUCAGUUCCCCCACUAACCCACAAUGCGUGUAUGUGAGGAGACUGGCUGCCAGGGGAGUAAAGUUUCCUCCUGAGCAAAGCUGGCGGACAUGAGAGGGCAGAUGCAACAUGUCCUUAUGGUUGGUGAGAAGUGACUGUCUAGGUUUGUUAAAGAUGCUUUGUAACUUACUUUGCCAUCUUUUCCAGUAUUAUCCACAUGAAUCCCCAUGUGUACCAUUGGUCCAGUCAAGCCAACCGCAUCACUGGAUACUGCAGAAAUACUCAUCACUACUCAAAUGCCUAGAAUUCUCUCCUUGUCCCUCUCAGUCUUCAAGUCAUGCACAAAUUUGUUACUUCUUUCAUUCUUGUUAAUUUGUUAAUUCAGCUACGUGAAUUUAUUAGAUGUGCCCCACCACCCACCAGGUUAUUUCAGGUAUAACAUGGGAAUGUGAUAAAGUCCUUAAGAAAGGUGCAAAGCAAAUAUGGAGCUAAAUUUCAAAUGGGGAAGAGAGAUCUUUUUUCCUGGUUUAGUUAUGAGAACACUUAGUAGACAAGGGGGCUUUGAGCUGAACCUUGAAGGACUGGAGAACUUUGUGAAUACAGAGAUUGCAAUGAAACCUUCUCCAGCCAAGGUUGUACACAUUUAUAUCUUCACUUCACUAACAGUGUGAUCUUGGGAAUGCUUAUUUUCUGCCCCUCGUCUGUAAAAUGGGGAUAAGUGUUUUAACCAGGGUUGGCUUAAGGGUGUGAGACCUGUACAGUCACACAGGCACUUAGAAAUGCUGGCCCCUCACUUGGUUUAAUGCUCUGCUGUCACCAUAUUGAAAUUCUUAAUAAUUUUUGAACAAGGGGCCUUGCAAAUUGUGUCCUGAUCUUAUCUUGGAGGGUUAUUGCAAAGUCCUAAGAUGUUAAUACAUGGGAAUUUCUUAGAACAGUGAGGGUCUGAAAUAUGAUGGUUCAGUAAGUGCUACCUGUUGGUAUUAUUCUCUGCACCAACUCAGCUCCUAUAUUUGAUCUUGUCAGUGUAUUUUAUUAUAACAUUAUAGCUCAUAGUGUACCUCACAGCUUAUCUAGCACUUAAACGCCUGAAAGAUAUUUUUGAAUGCCUGUUUGUAAAGGUACUGGAUGGGUCACAAAGAUGAAUAGGACAGUACUUCCUAUCCUAGUUGAUGGAAUAAAGCAUGUGUUUUAAGCAUUCUGAUUAGUAAUAAAUAUGUCUUGUGCAGAGUAUAGAAAUUUUUAAAAGUAAAUUUCUGGGCUCCACCUUCAGAGACUCUUAUUAGUAGCUCUAGUGUAGGACUUAAGAAUCAGUUCCCAAGGUAAUUUUAAUGAAUUGUCAAGUUUUGAACCACUGACAUUAACUUCAGGGAGGCCAUGUGGAAUAGAGGCAAAAAGCUUGCCAUUGGUGUUGGUCAGACUGGGAUUCAAGUUCUGCCAUCUACCAGUUCUGUUACUUUGCCUAAGUUAGUUAGUCUCUCAGUUUUCUCAUUUGUAAAGAUUAAAACCAUACCUUAAAGAUUAAAUUUUAAAAUGCUUAAAAAAGCUGAGCACAUAGUGGACACUUAAUUUCGAGUCUUUUCUUCUAGAGGGGGAGAUUGUAUCCCAGGAAGGGGCCGUCACAGAGGGCUUCCUGGAGGAGAGGAUAAUCCACCCCAUACAAGCAGUAUGGUUUAGAUGGGAGAAAGGCUUCUGAUUACACGUUCUAGCUACAGUCAAGAUAUUAGGGGAAUAUUAGAGGAAUGCUAAGUCACAAAAUAAUUGAUGGGAUUUAGUGGCUGAUUAGAUACAGAGGAGAGGGAAGAUUGAAAGGUGAGUCUUAGGUCUUCAGCUUGAGUAUUUUUGAGAGUGAGUCAUUUUAAAAACAAGAUCAAAUAUAGGAGCUGAGUUGGUGCAGGAAGGUAGGGUAGAGGUUGGGGGAGGGGUCAUGUAUCCAGUUUUAGAAACAUUUAGUUUUUAAGGUCAUAAGAGGACAUCCAAGGGGAACUGCACAUUCUUGACUGGGAUUUGGGAGAAGGGCUGAUGCUCAGAAAAUAAGAAGUUAGAUGUCAAUAGACAGUCAUUGAGCUCCCACAAGUAAAUUAUGUCUUUAAGGACAUUAUCUAUAAAGAGAGAAAAGAAAAAGAUUUAGGAGUGGAAAUGGGGUUACAAACUAGUAGGCAAUGGGGGAGAGUAUAGCUCUAGCAUGUGCAGGGUGUGGGGUUCAAUCCCCAGUACCUCUAUUAAAAAUACAUAAAUAAACCUAAUUACCCUCCCACCCCCCUCAGAGGAAAAAAAAAACAAACAAACUAGUAGGCAAUAAGAGUGAGGGAGAAGAGAAAGGAAGCAGCAGUAGAGAAGGAACAGCAGAGGUAGGGAAAGAAGUGGGCAAGUGGACAGUUAAUAUUGUGAUAGUCAGAGUAACAUUCCCCAGAAGUUGUCCACAUGCUAAUCCCUGGAACCUGAAAAUGUGUUCCUUUACCUGGCAAAAGAGACUUUGCAGCUAUGAUUAAAUUAAGGAUUUUGAGAUGGGGAGAUUAUCCUGGAUGAUCUGUAAUAUAAUGACAAGGGUCCUCAUAAGAGGAAGAGUGGAGGAUCAGAGUCAGAGAAGGCGAUGUGAUGACAGAAGUAAAGGCCUGAGUGAUGUGGGGCUGUGAGCCAGGGGAUGUCAGCAGCCUCAGGAAGCUGGAAGCAGCAAAGAACAGAUUCUCCCCUAGAGCUGCCAGAGGGAACACAGUGCUGCUGACCCAUUUUCAACUUCUUUCAGAACUGUAAGAAAAUUUGUGUUCCUCUAAGCCUAGGUUGUAGUAGUUUGUUACAGCAAUGAUAGGAAACUAAUGCAGGAGUUAACAGCUAAAAAUAGCCUAAAUCUAACAAUGAUGGAUUCUUUAAAUAAGUUAUAGCAUGUCGGUAUGAUGGACUAUUACAAUCGUAGCUAGCCAUUAAAAAUUAUGCUAUAGGAGAUCAUCUAAACAUGUGGAAAAUGUUCAUAAUAGAUUGCCAAGUCCAGAGAGCAAGGUAAAAUAUUGUAGGUAUUUAUAUUAAAAUUUCAUCAAGUGGUACAAGAUUCAUGCAUUUUAUGCACUUGACUAGAUGUGGUAUACCUCAGUUUAAAAGUUUUGCAGAUUCAUAUAGAUGUCCUGUUUGUUCAAAGAAGAGAAUCUUGUGUUAAAUCUAUGUAUCCAUGAAUAGGAAAGAGACUAGGAAUGUUAAUAAACCAAAUGUUAAUAAUGGCUGUCUCUGGAUGGUAGGGUUACAGAUGAUUUUUAUGUUCAUUUUUUAUUCUUCUCUGUCUAUUCCAAUUUUUCUUCAAUGAACAGGCAUUACUUUUUUGAUCAGAAAACAUUUUAAAAAUUAAUUUUUUAAAGAUCAAGAAAAAGGGGUAGGGAGAAAAUUUGAAGGAUUUAAAAGCUUAAGGGUGAGGGCCCAGCGGCAUGUGGCACAGCCAAGCAUCUAUGAACAAUUUUCUGAAAAUAGAUUUUUUUUUUUUAAAUGUGUCUCCUACCCCAACCCCCAAAGCAGAAAGAAACUCAAUACUGGGGAUGUAAAGAGAAGGAAGAAGAAGAAAAGCUAGACUGUAGAGAUGAAAGCUUCCUGACUCCUGAGUUGGGAGGGUCCGUGAGAAAUGAGGGGACUAGAGCGGAUUAUUCAGUCUCCCCUGCCCCCACCUGUGUUUGCCCAAGAGCCUGGAGACAGAUCCGACACCCUCAGCCGCUUUCUCCUUUUGUUUAUUCAAUUCUUUAUAUCCUUCCUUUGUUCUUUUUCUAAUUAUCAAGGUAAUAAUGCCUCUCACUGGAGAAAUUGUGAAAAGCAUGAAGAGUUAAGCAGAAAUCACCUGUAAUCCCAAAUUAUUGAAAAAUUGGCAUACUUCUCAACCUAGUUCAAAUUUAAAUGAAAACUAAAGUAUUACUGUGUAACAUUUUGGCACCCCCACCUUAAAAAAAACAUACUUUUAAGAAUUUUAAAUUGGUUCAACUCUUUGUCAGGUGGCAUUAAAAAUUAGUAUGAACUAAACAUAUCUGGACUGACUCCAAAUGGGUUUUCAUACUGGUAGUAUAAUGGAGAAGUAAGUGAAACCUUUUAACUUUGACUCAAGCUUUAAAAAAAAAAAAAAAAAAGUACCAAUAGAAUAAGCUAAAACUUGAAAAUCAUUGAAGUAUGCCUGGUGGCUCACAAACCCGGAGGCUCACUGAAGCCUCUUCCUGGCCCGGUGUUACAAAGGUAUCCUGUAUUCUGGGCCAGCUGUCUUCUAAUCUUUCUGUUCUUUUUUUCCUUUAUUUGAGUACAUGCUCAAUUUUGAUGAUCUCCUUUGUUUUGGAGAACACCCAGCUCUUUUCCUCUUAUGUGUCUCCUUUUAUCUUCAUGAUAGUUUCUGACACCAGAUGUGUGGGGGUUUUUCCCCUCCAAGCAGUUCUUUGACACAGGGGGUCAAUUUAAUUCUGACACUAUUUACCUAGCGAUAGAGUCAGAGCCCACAGGUUAAGGGCUCAGUCCCAUGAGACUGCCCCCUACUUUAGAUGCCAGUUGUCAGUAGUAGGCCCCCAGGUUACCCACAGCUUUUGUCCAUCUUGGUUAUGAAUCUAAGAUUUCCAUGGCCCCCUCCUUGGGAUCUGUCAGUUUUCUAGAGUGGCUCACAGGACUCAGGGAAACACUUUAUAUUUACCAGCUUAUUAAAGGAUAUGAUUAAGGAUACAGAUGAAUAGCCAGAUGAAGAGAUACGUACAUAGGAUGAAGUCUGAGAAGGUCCUGAGCACAGGAUCUGCUGUCCCUGUGGAGUUGGGGUGGGAGUUGGAAGCCCCUGAAACCGCUGUUGGGAUUUUUAUGGGGGCUUUCUCAUGUAGGCAUGAUCAGUUUACUCCAUUUCCAGCCCCUCUCCCCUCUUUAGAGAACUUGGGGCUGGUAGACAGGGCUUAAAAUUCCAUACUCCUAACUAUGGUUUGGUCUUUCUGGUGACCAGCUGCCAUCCAGGAACCAUCCAGGUGCCCACGCAGAGUCACCUCGUUGGAACAUAAGGUGCUCCUAGUAUUCUUAUCACUUGAAAUUUAUAAGGGUUUUAGGAGCCCUAAAGUCAGGGAGUCAGGGCGGGGGUGGAAGACCAAAUACUAGAACAGGAGAGGCUCCUGGUGCUCUUAUCACUUAGGAUGUGACAAAGGUUUUAGGAACUACGUGCCAGGCACUGGGGGCAGAGGUUAAUAUAUAUGUUUUCUAUUAUCUCAUGUUUGUACGUUUUGUAUGCACACAAAUAUCUUUUGUCCCCUAUUAGUUUGUAAUUCAAGGCUUCUCAGCCUUGGUACUGUUGAUAUUUUGGACCAAAUAAUUCUUUGUUGCUAGGGGGCUGUCCUGUGCAUUGUAGAAUUUUUUAGCGGUAUCCCUGGCUUCUACCUACUUGGUACCAGUAACACACCCCUCUCAAACCCUGACAGUCAGAAACCUGACAAGGUCUCCAGACCUUGCUAUGUUCCCUGGUGGCAAAAAUAGCUUCCCCACCCCCUGCAGUUGAGAACCACUGCUCCUUGAGGUCAGCUGCCGUGUCAUAAAUCCCUGUAUUCCACACGGUGAGUUUAUUGCCCAAAGAGUAUCACUGCCUUAUGAAAAUAGUAACUAAUUUUUAUAAAGCCCUUCCUCUGUACUGUUCUAAGCUCCACACACAUAUUAACUCAUUUAAUCUUCACAACAACCCUAUGAGAUAGGUACUAUUAUUAUGCCCCUUUUACAAUCAAGAAGCUAAGACUCGAAGAGAUUAGUUUAGUUAUUCAUGGUCACCCAGCUGGGAAGUGACACCUGGGAUUUGAACUCCAACCCAGGCAGUCCAGCUGCAGAUUCUGAGCUCUCAACCAUUUUGCUAUCUACUGCUUUUAAAUACAAAGAAAGAAAAAACUUUUUUUUUAAGCCAGGCAUUGUCCAUCUGCCUACAGAAUUUGCAUAGGCAAACACGUAAAAAUAAAGUUUCCUGUUCUGCCUUUUUCACAAAACAUGAUAUAGCAAAGCAUUUUGCCGUAUUCCUAAAAUCUUCUACAUUGUUUAAGUAUAAUUUACUGGCAAUGAAGUGCACCCAUUUUAAGGGUACAGUUUGAUAAGUUUUGACGAAUGUAUAAGUCCGUGCUGCCACCAACACAAGAUAUAGAACAUUCUCAUCACCUUUGUUCCUUUCUAUAGUGGCAGCCGAAGCUGGCUUGUACCCUAGUACCUGCUCAGGAGCACCAGCUUUGUGUACAUCUCUCGAAUUUACAUUUAGUGACAUCACAUUGGUAGCUCAAAAUUAGCCAUUGUGGGAGUACUUCAUUGAAAUUGGGAAAGUGCCACAGAUCAAGACUUCUUUAAAAAAAAAUUGUUUUAGAACCAGUUAACCAGUACUACAGCUUGUGCCCCUUUGCAGUCACCCAUCCAUCUUACAGCCAGUCUGCUUUCUGACAUUUCCUUUUGCAUUUCUAAGAAUUCUGUAAAUAAAAUCAUGCACUAUAUACUC